rnacentral:rRNA from 1 species
UCAUUCCUACGGGGGGCAGCAGCGGGGAAUAUUGCACAAUGGGGGAAACCCUGAUGCAGCGACGCCGCGUGAGCGAUGAAGUAUUUCGGUAUGUAAAGCUCUAUCAGCAGGGAAGAAAAUGACGGUACCUGACUAAGAAGCCCCGGCUAACUACGUGCCAGCAGCCGCGGGAAUACGUAGGGGGCAAGCGUUAUCCGGAUUUACUGGGUGUAAAGGGAGCGUAGACGGUCCUGCAAGCCAGAUGUGAAAGCACGGGGCUCAACCCCGGGACUGCAUGUGGAACUGUAAGGCUAGAGUGUCGGAGG